GACGAACGCUGGCGGCGUGCCUAAUACAUGCCAGUAGAGCGAUGAAGGAUGGUGUUUGCCUCCAUUUGGAGUGCAGCACACGGGUGUGUCACGCGUGGGGAAUCUGCCUUUGAGCGGGGGACAACAUUGGAACACGAGUGCUAACACCGCAUGACAACUUUAAACAUAAGAUUUACGUUUGAAAGAUGAUAUCGCAUCAACCAAAGAUGAUUCCGCGUUGUUUUCGCUAGUUGGUGAGGUAAAGGCUCACCAAGGCGAAGAUACAUAGCCGACCUGAGAGGGUGAUCGGCCACAUUGGGACUGAGACACGGCCCAGACUCCUACGGGAGGCAGCAGUAGGGAAUCUUCGGCAAUGGACGGAAGUCUGACCGAGCAACGCCGCGUGAGUGAAGAAGGUUUUCGGAUCGUAAAACUCUGUUGUUAGAGAAGAACGUUGGUGAGAGUGGAAAGUUCAUCAAGUGACGGUAACUACCCAGAAAGGGACGGCUAACUACGUG
rnacentral:rRNA from 1 species